rnacentral:rRNA from 1 species
UACGAAGGGGGCUAGCGUUGCUCGGAAUCACUGGGCGUAAAGCGCACGUAGGCGGCUUCUUAAGUCAGGGGUGAAAUCCUGGAGCUCAACUCCAGAACUGCCUUUGAUACUGAGGAGCUCGAGUCCGGAAGAGGUGAGUGGAACUGCGAGUGUAGAGGUGAAAUUCGUAGAUAUUCGCAGGAACACCAGUGGCGAAGGCGGCUUACUGGUCCAUAACUGACGCUGAGGUGCGAAAGCGUGGGGAGCAAACAGG